GUGUGGCUCAAUGGUAGAACAUCUUCUUGCCAUGCAGAAGGUCCCAGGUUCCAUCCCAGACAUCUCCA
rnacentral:tRNA from 1 species